AGACUAAAAUAAUUUUUUAAAAAAACUAUUUUUGUCUUUUGAUAUUUCUUAUUUACUCAUUAUUGUAAGCAUAUUUUCUUUUGCAUUCUUAACUCUAGGUAUAAUAGCUGCUGAGAAGUCCUUGCAUCUGGAUUAUUUUGGAGUUUGUCUCCAUUGAUUGCCUUUUCUCUUGAGUAUGAGCCAUGUUUUCUAGUUUUGUUGUGUGUUGAAUGAUUUUAGAUUGUAUCUAAAAUUUGCCCAAUGGAAUUGUGAAUGAGAUGUAGAGACUGUGGAUUCUAUUUACUUCUCUGAAGAAUACUAUUAUUAUGUUUUUAAGCAGUUAAGUUGGUUGAAUUCAAAUUCUUAAUCUUCCCUGAAUAUUACAGCAACUGAAAUCUCUGCUGAGUUCCAUUAUCCCUACUUCGGCUGCUUGGCAUCUCUCUCACACACGUGUAGUUAGAGAUUUGGUAUAUGACAUGAUUGAACCUGGAGGGGAUUGGAGAUCUCAGAGAGAAACUCCUGGAAGUUCUGGUGAAGCUGAGGGAGGAUCAGUGGGAAGUUGAAGAGUUGGAAGCUGAUGUCAGAGAAAAGAGAACUUCCUGGAAGGAAACAAGUUCUGCAACCUCACUUUCUGAUGAUCCCCAUGGGGACCCACAUCCAUGCAGUGAUUUUUCCACAGUUUAUUUUUUCAAGACCUGACAGAAGUCUGUGCAACUGGGGUAAGAAGUUACAGGAUCUUCAAAUCUCCAUGUCCUGAUCCCGUUUUAGAAGUUUUGGUUACUACUAGGUCCCAUGAUCCUAGCUUCAUGUGUUCUUUUCCAAAUGUAGCUACAUGCAAGAGUUCUUAAGUGUCCUGCUCAUCUCCUACCCAUCAACACAAGUUCUUCCCAGUCAUCUCCCAAUAUUUCUCCUCACAAUGUCACAAGACACACCCAUUCUGUAUCCCCCACAUGACCCUGUAAUUUUCCUAUUUUCCUACAGUGGAUGUCAUGCUGAAUCCAGCCAAUGUUAUUUCUGUUGUUAUCAUGUUUGAAGAUCAGAUACAAGUGACACUUACAUUUUAAGAUUUUUUAAAAUGUACAUCCACAUGAUUUCUCUGCUUUUGACGUCUUAGGCCACCAAAGUUUCCUCUCAGGGAAAUAUUACUGGGAGGUAGAAAUGUCUAGGAAGAUUGCCUGGAUCCUCGGGGUAUGAAGUAAAAC
rnacentral:lncRNA from 1 species